AUGCCGGAGCCUCCCGGAUGAGCGCCGCCCCCUGCUCCAGGGAGCCCAGUCCCAUCUACCACCCAAGGGCUGAGGAGUGAGGGCGCACGGCGCGGGACUGGCGGGCAGUUCCACCUGCAGCCCCGGUGUGGGAUCCACUGGGUGAAGCCAGCUGGGCUCCUGAGUCUGGUGGGGACCUGGAGAACCUUUAUGUCUAGCUCAAGUUGCAGCCUGUAGGCACUUGCUUUAACCAUGAAGAAUUACCUUUAGUACUUCAGGGUGAAGAAUCGGGAGCCAGCGGUAUGACAAAUAAAUCUGGACUCUCAGCAAUGAGGAAAGAAACAGACCAACAAGUUGGGGAAAGAAGGCUCACAUACUGCAGUGACCAGGUAACUCUGUUCACAGACCAAGUCCUCAGUCAAAUACUAUCUUCUGAGGAGGGAAGAAUCGAGGUUAUGUAG
rnacentral:lncRNA from 1 species